ACCAACGUUCCAAACCGCUCUAAAUGCACUCGUUCUCGUCCGAUUACGAAAGUUAAGCACUGCUGGGCAAAUGGGUGACCGCUUGGGAACUCCGUGUGACGUUGGUU
rnacentral:rRNA from 1 species